rnacentral:rRNA from 1 species
AGGGGUCUAAUACCGGAUAUGAGCUCCUGCUGCAUGGCGGGGGUUGGAAAGUUUUUCGGUGGGGGAUGGGCUCGCGGCCUAUCAGCUUGUUGGUGGGGUAAUGGCCUACCAAGGCGUCGACGGGUAGCCGGCCUGAGAGGGCGACCGGCCACACUGGGACUGAGACACGGCCCAGACUCCUACGGGAGGCAGCAGUGGGGAAUAUUGCACAAUGGGCGAAAGCCUGAUGCAGCGACGCCGCGUGAGGGAUGACGGCCUUCGGGUUGUAAACCUCUUUCAGCAGGGAAGAAGCGCAAGUGACGGCACCCGCAGAAGAAGCGCCGGCUAACUACGUGCCAGCUGCCGCGGUAAUACGUAGGGCGCAAGCGUUGUCCGGAAUUAUUGGGCGUAAAGAGCUCGUAGGCGGUUUGUCGCGUCUGGUGUGAAAACCUCAGGCUCAACCUGGGGCGUGCAUCGGGUACGGGCAGACUAGAGUGCGGUAGGGGAGACUGGAAUUCCUGGUGUAGCGGUGGAAUGCGCAGAUAUCAGGAGGAACACCGAUGGCGAAGGCAGGUCUCUGGGCCGCAACUGACGCUGAGGAGCGAAAGCAUGGGGAGCGAACAGGAUUAGAUACCUUGGUAGUCCAUGCCGUAAACGUUGGGCACUAGGUGUGGGGCUCAUUCCACGAGUUCCGUGCCGCAGCUAACGCAUUAAGUGCCCCGCCUGGGGAGUACGGCCGCAAGGCUAAAACUCAAAGGAAUUGACGGGGGCCCGCACAAGCGGCGGAGCAUGCGGAUUAAUUCGAUGCAACGCGAAGAACCUUACCAAGGCUUGACAUGCACCGGAAACACUCAGAGAUGGGUGCCCCGCAAGGUCGGUGCACAGGUGGUGCAUGGUUGUCGUCAGCUCGUGUCGUGAGAUGUUGGGUUAAGUCCCGCAACGAGCGCAACCCUCGUCCUAUGUUGCCAGCGGGUUAUGCCGGGGACUCAUAGGAGACUGCCGGGGUCAACUCGGAGGAAGGCGGGGAUGACGUCAAAUCAUCAUGCCCCUUAUGUCUUGGGCUUCACGCAUGCUACAAUGGCCGGUACAGAGGGCUGCGAUACCGUAAGGUGGAGCGAAUCCCAAAAAGCCGGUCUCAGUUCGGAUUGGGGUCUGCAACUCGACCCCAUGAAGUCGGAGUCGUAGUAAUCGCAGAUCA